UCCUACGGGAGGCAGCAGUAGGGAAUCUUCCGCAAUGGACGCAAGUCUGACGGAGCAACGCCGCGUGAGUGAAGAAGGCCUUCGGGUUGUAAAACUCUGUUGCCGGGGAAGAACAAGUGCCGUUCGAACAGGGCGGUACCUUGACGGUACCCGGCCAGAAAGCCACGGCUAACUACGUGCCAGCAGCCGCGGUAAUACGUAGGUGGCAAGCGUUGUCCGGAAUUAUUGGGCGUAAAGCGCGCGCAGGCGGCUUCUUAAGUCUGAUGUGAAAUCUUGCGGCUCAACCGCAAGCGGCCAUUGGAAACUGGGAGGCUUGAGUGCAGAAGAGGAGAGUGGAAUUCCACGUGUAGCGGUGAAAUGCGUAGAGAUGUGGAGGAACACCAGUGGCGAAGGCGGCUCUCUGGUCUGUAACUGACGCUGAGGCGCGAAAGCGUGGGGAGCAAACAGGAUUAGAUACCCUGGUAGUCCACGCCGUAAACGAUGAGUGCUAAGUGUUAGAGGGUUUCCGCCCUUUAGUGCUGCAGCUAACGCAUUAAGCACUCCGCCUGGAGACGGGCAAGU
rnacentral:rRNA from 1 species